UGGAGUGACCAACCACCCCAGUUUGCCUGGGACUGAAGGUUUCCCAGGUGUGAGACUUUCAGCACCAAAUCUAACAGUCCCAGGCAAGCCGGGUAAGUUGGUCCCCCUGCCACAAG
rnacentral:pre_miRNA from 2 species